CAGCUCCUGCGGAAGAAAGAGGUGCGCGUCAACGAAAGGUGGUGCACGCCCACUUAGGAUCCCCGGUACAUAACAGCCCCAGCGCCCAACUGCUCCUGCUUCCGGAAAGGAAAAUGCAGAGAAGCAAAGGGAAACAGACGCAGUUCCCACUCCCACAGUCCAAGUCACCGUCCGGGGACGAUUGAUCUUUCCUCCCGGAGGUCCCAUUGCUACACUCCGAGGCUCACUCCCGGAGCCGCACUUCCGCUCCCCUCACAGGUUCCGCCACGCACAAAAGACCCCGCCCACUGACGCCUCCGGACCAAUCGCAGCUUGGAGGCGGGUACCAGGCCUAUAUAAGGCUGUUCUGCGGUCUCCUGGGCCUUUCCAAGGGUGGCUUCUGUGUCUACAUUGCACCCGAAGUAAUAGUUAACGUUUUGUUUUUUGUUUUUUUUUUUCUGUUCAUUGUUGAACCAAUAAAGUCUGUGAACCCUAA